rnacentral:tRNA from 1 species
ACCGAGAUCGUGGUUAGGGCAUUGAACUUGAGAUCCAAUGGGCUAGUGGCCGUGUGGGUUUGAACCCCACUCUCAGUA